UACGAAGGGGGCUAGCGUUGUUCGGAAUUACUGGGCGUAAAGCGCGUGUAGGCGGGUCUUUAAGUCAGGGGUGAAAUCCCGGGGCUCAACCUCGGAAUUGCCUUUGAUACUGUCUAUCUUCGAGUUCGGGAGAGGUUGGCGGAAUUCCUAGUGUAGAGGUGAAAUUCGUAGAUAUUAGGAAGAACACCAGUGGCGAAGGCGGCCAACUGGCCCGAUACUGACGCUCAUGUGCGAAAGCGUGGGGAGCAAACAG
rnacentral:rRNA from 1 species